rnacentral:rRNA from 1 species
CUACGGGUCGCUCCAGUGAGGAAUUUUGCGCAAUGGGGGAAACCCUGACGCAGCAACGCCGCGUGAGUGAAGAAGGCCUUUGGGUCGUAAAGCUCUGUCAACAGGGAAGAAGUUACUGUUUUUUAAUAGAGGAUGGUAUUGACGGUACCUGUGAAGGAAGCAUCGGCUAACUCCGUGCCAGCAGCCGCGGUAAUACGGGGGAUGCCAGCGUGAUUCGGAAUUAUUGGGCGUAAAGGGCACGCCGGCGUGCCUUGUCAGUCAGAUGUGAAAGCCCGGGGCUCAACCCCGGACGGUCAUUUGAAAUAGUAAGGAUUGAGUAAGGUAGAGGAGAGGGGAAGUCCUGGUGUAGAGGAGAAAUUAGUAGAUAUCAGGAGGAACUCCGGUGGCGAAGGCGCCUCUCUGGGCCUGUACUGACGAUGAGGUGCGAAGGCGUGGGUAGCGAACAGGAUUGGAUACCCGGGUAGUC